rnacentral:lncRNA from 1 species
UAUGAGUCUUUGGGGGCCAUUUUCAUCCAAACCACCACACUCUUCCAGCAGACAUAGGAAACUGGAAAAGUAGAGAAUUGUCAGGAGCCAUUAAAGACACAAAUGGAUGAUGUGGAAGACAGUCUAGCCAAGCGACCCAUGUGUACCUACAACUCAGCAGGUGUUGGCUUGUGUCUGAGGGAGAAGGUUCUUGAGAUUGUUUGGUCAAGGAAGACAUUUGGAAAAUGGACAUUGGAAUCACCCACAUGAAGAGAUGAACCCAGCUGCCCUUCGGAGACUCUUCUAGAUGAGGCUGGGAUGAGACCAGGCUCAGUGUGUUGGGAGAUGGACAGCACGGAACAGAGAAGGAGGUGGGGUGAGACAUAAGUAAGUAAUCUUGAAAAGGUAGGUAGACAGGGAUGAUAUCAUGGGGG